rnacentral:lncRNA from 1 species
AUGGAAGAAGUUACGAGAAGCUGUCAAAGCCUCAGGCAUCUUUAGCUUGCCGGAGUUCCCAUCUGAAACUUGCAAGUUCACCGGAGAGAAGGCUGAAACUCUUCCUGGUAUGUUAUUGUAGUUUUUAAAACUUACCUAUUUCUCAUGUUCAAAAUUGGAAGUGCAAGUUAGAUUAGACUUUGAUAAAUAUUUCGUAAGCUAGUUUGCUUCUGCUUCGCUCUACGUACCAGUCGCUUUGGUUUCAUCAAUAUAUGAGAUCCUAUUUAUAUACACCAUCAUCUCCUUAUGAAUACGUUGAUUUUUCACUAUUUAAAAUAUAAUUACCUAAAAUUUUAGCACACAUAUCGAAGGAGUACAGCAUACUCGAUCUCUAUCUCAGCUUAAUUACUCUUGUCAUGUUUUAAAUACCAUGUUUAGGUUAUUAUCAUGAAUAGAAUAAUUGUUCAGGUGUUCUUUCUAUGAAAAUUCCUUGAUUAACUUGUUGACUUUAGAAGAAAACUAUCUAUGACUAGUCUAAGUUGCUAGUUUAUUUGAUAGAAGUAACAUCAAUUUCAGCUUCUUAUAUUUGACUUAAGUUUCUCUAUUCUUCUUCAUUUUUUUUAAUCCUUUUGUUCU